AGAAUCUUUCACAAUGGGGGAAACCCUGAUGGAGCGACGCCGCGUGGGGGAUGAAUGGCUUAGGCCCGUAAACCCCUGUCAUUCGCGAACAAAGCUCACGACCUAAUACGUCCUGGGUUGAUAGUAGCGGAAGAGGAAGGGACGGCUACCUCUGUGCCAGCAGCCGCGGUAAUACAGAGGUCCCAAGCGUUGUUCGGAUUCACUGGGCGUAAAGAGUGCGUAGGUGGUCGGGUAAGUCUGAUGUGAAAUCUCCGAGCUCAACUCGGAAAUGGCAUUGGAAACUACCCGGCUGGAGGAUUGGAGGGGGGACUGGAAUUCUCGGUGUAGCAGUGAAAUGCGUAGAUAUCGAGAGGAACACCGGUGGCGAAGGCGAGUCUCUGGACAAUUCCUGACACUGAGGCACGAAAGCUGGGGGAGCAAAC
rnacentral:rRNA from 1 species